GAUGUCGGCUCAUCACAUCCUGGGGCUGAAGUAGGUCCCAAGGGUAUGGCUGUUCGCCAUUUAAAGUGGUACGCGAGCUGGGUUUAGAACGUCGUGAGACAGUUCGGUCCCUAUCUGCCGUGGGCGCUGGAGAACUGAGGGGGGCUGCUCCUAGUACGAGAGGACCGGAGUGGACGCAUCACUGGUGUUCGGGUUGUCAUGCCAAUGGCACUGCCCGGUAGCUAAAUGCGGAAGAGAUAAGUGCUGAAAGCAUCUAAGCACGAAACUUGCCCCGAGAUGAGUUCUCCCUGACUCCUUGAGAGUCCUGAAGGAACGUUGAAGACGACGACGUUGAUAGGCCGGGUGUGUAAGCGCAGCGAUGCGUUGAGCUAACCGGUACUAAUGAACCGUGAGGCUUAACCUUACAACGCCGAAG
rnacentral:rRNA from 1 species